UGCAGAGUAGGUGGCAUGCGUUAAGUGCUAAGGGAUGGGAAGUUGCCCUUAGACGAAAGGUUUAUCCUGCGAUAUGUCACCGCAUCCACUGCC
rnacentral:ncRNA from 20 species